GCUUGUUUCGAGAAUUAAGCCAUGCAAGUCUGAGAGUAAACGUUAUACGUGGGUCUGCGAACGGCUCAUUAAAACAGAGAUAAUCUGCACGGUGAAAGGGACUGCUCGUCAGUCCACACUGGAUAACCCCACUUCAGGAAACGGGGGCUAAUACCUGGUCGAAAAGAGCCUCUUCAAAAGUGCCCGGGUCAAACCGGGACUGGAGGUCUCUGCUCUUACCCGUCACUUCAACCAACGCUCGCAAGAGCAGCGGCUUAGUGAUGAUUCAGGGUAAAGAGUCAAAGCGUUCGCGCGUGACCGUAUAGAGUCUCUGCCCUAUCAGCUAGAUGGUAGCGUAUUGGGCUACCAUGGCAACAACGGGUACGUGGAAUUAGGGUUCGAUUCCGGAGAGGGAGCCUGAGAGAUGGCUGCUACUUCUACGGAGGGCAGCAGGCGUGAAAAUUGCCCACUCGCAAUACAUUGCGGAGGCAGCGAAGAGGAAUACCGCCUGAACGGGGUUUACCUCGUUUGUGGUUGGAAUGAGUAGUACGUAAAAUCACUGCUGAGUAACAAUUGGAGG
rnacentral:rRNA from 1 species